GCUCGGUAGACAUCUCAGAACUUCCAUCGUCUUUGUAGGAGGAGUUGCCGUUAAGAAGGAAAGGAGCACAGAGAGAAGGUAGCCAUGGGAGUGAUAAGCAAAGCUGGAGAUUUGACGUUUAAGGCCUUCACGCUGGGUCUAGGCGUCGCCACCAUUUAUCUCGGCGGUACAUUUUCCGUCAACGUUUACCGCGGUCUCGCCUGGCACAAGGCUCAGUCGAAAACCGAGAAUGAUGGGACCCCUGAUCAGAAGUCAUAGUCGGAUUAUGUUGCGAGUCUAUAUGGUUAAGUCGUUAACCUUCCCUCUUUGAUUCGAUGAAGAGAAUAUAGUACUCACCUUCUUCAUGUGAAAAGCUAGAAAUUUUACACCAAAUGUCAUUUUCCCUGUUUGUUAGGACCUGAUCUAGGUUUGAACAUCGAUGAUUUAAUGGUCCCCUGUGCUAUUUCGCAGAUAGCCACGGUCAGCAACACAAAUAUUGAACAAAUGCAGUUGUAAUAUACACUGCUGCGGUUAUUUGUUGAACAUUCGUUUGUUUUGGUUGAGUGGUCUCAACUAUGAAUAAUUUGAAUCCUUUCAUAUAUUUAUCCUGUUGCUUUAUGACUA